rnacentral:rRNA from 1 species
GCAGGCUGAAACCCGCCUGCGUGAAGUUGGAAUCGCUAGUAAUCGCGGAUCAGCAUGCCGCGGUGAAUACGUUCCCGGGUCUUGUACACACCGCCCGUCACACCAUGGGAGUCGGAAAUGCCCGAAGUCUGUGACCCAACCUUAGGGAGGGAGCAGCCGAAGGCAGGUCGGAUGACUGGGGUGAAGUCGUAACAAGGUACC